UACAGCGGUGGCAAGCGUUGUUCGGAAUUACUGGGCGUAAAGGGCGCGUAGGCGGCUUGGUCAGUCCCGUGUGAAAUCCCUCGGCUCAACUGAGGAACUGCACGGGAAACUGCCUGGCUUGAGUUCGGGAGAGGGAAGCGGAAUUCCGGGUGUAGCGGUGAAAUGCGUAGAUAUCCGGAGGAACACCAGCGGCGAAGGCGGCGUCCUGGACUGGUACUGACGCUCAGGAGCGAAAGCGUGGGGAGCGAUCCGG
rnacentral:rRNA from 1 species